GGUGAGUAACACGUGGGUGAUCUGCCCUGCACUUCGUGAUAAGCUUGGGAAACUGGGUCUAAUACCGGAUAGGAGUCAUCUUUAGUGUGGUGGUUGGAAAGUUUUUCGGUGUAGGAUGAGCUCGCGGCCUAUCAGCUUGUUGGUGGGGUAAUGGCCUACCAAGGCGGCGACGGGUAGCCGGCCUGAGAGGGUGAUCGGCCACAUUGGGACUGAGAUACGGCCCAG
rnacentral:rRNA from 1 species